GCAGUUGCUAAUCAGGGAAGGGAGGGGAUGCAGAGACCAGGGAGGAGCCGUCAAGAGACAAUAGUGCAUCUUUGGGGCAGUGUCCUGGUUCCUCCUCAAGGAAUAUACAUAACAAUAUCUUUGAGCCUUUCUGCAGAACUGAAAACCCCAACAAAUGGAAGAACUAGUACUUGAUGAAGCAUUCUUCAUUUGGGGAAGAAGGAGGACCACCAGCACCAGUCCUAGGGCCACUAAACACCAGGUUUGAGAGACAAGGCAAGCUUGCCUCUACCUUGAUCCUUACCUGCAGCCCUAUUUUCUACUCCCCAAACUAUUAAACCACUUCCUAAUCCCUUCCAAGGGGGUCACAGUCUUCAAAGCAUUAGCCUGCUCUGCCCUCCUUUGCCUGGCAAAGCAAUAAAGCUAUCAUUUUCUCCUUCAACCAAAACCCUGUCUCUGUGUUUCUAUUCAACAACAGUGGACAAAGCCUGAGUUUAGGCAACAAUUUCAGCCCACCUUAUCCCUAUGGUCACAGGACUUCCCAGCCACAGCUCCAGGCCCCACCAUGAACACAUCACUAAGCUGUCGCCUGUGUGCUGGCACUGGCCUUGGGGUAGGCUUCGGGCUGAGCCAGCCCAGCACACAUGUGCUUUGUAGAGUAAACCUAAACUGAAAAUGAGACCACAGACAAUGCCUGGCAUAUAGUGAGGAGGAGUCCUUCUCUUGAAUCACCCCCAGAAGUACGACGCCAGGCAGUGUGGUGACGACACCAGCUGCUCCUGGAGAGUUGGCAGCUCCAGCAACCUUAGGAGGCUGAUCCCUUGCCGUGAAAGUCACUGUGGGCACCCACAGUGACAGCAGGAGUGAGGAACCACUGUAUGAAGUCUCACCAGAAAAAGGACCAGGCCACUCCCCUCAUGGCAGGAGAGAAGCUCAUGAGCAAAAGCUUAGAGGUGGCAAAAAGACUGUCCAUGAAAGAACUCACCUGAGACACACUCGGGAGCAACCAGAGUUUUCAGCAGCCUCCAGCUAAAGACCAAAGUAUCAGAUGUAUGGGACACAAGAUGGGACUGAGUGAGGCUUUCUCCUCUGGGGCAGGUAUGCCAGGUCCCAGUGUUCCGUCAGCUGCUCAGCAGCCCUGCGCCGCAGCAUAUCAGCUCUAGCGACAGCCCUGCGGCUGUAGUAUACCAGCUCCAGCAGCUCUGUGGCUGCAGUGUAUCAGCUCUUUUACCCAGCAAGAAGCCAAGCGAGCACUCGGAGAUUUGGAGAAAUCAGGUUUAUUACGCCAGCGGGCUCAGACGAGAUCACUCUCUGGAGUCUGAGCCCCGAAGAAGGGUUUCACAAGGCUUCUAUGGGCUACCUCUUCUGGGUCCGUGCUUGGCUGGUCGGACCGGAGUGAGGUCAGGCAAGGCAGUAAAUGCGGAAACAAGUUUAUAGAAGCAGAUGUGGGCGGGGAUGGUUAGGGGCAGUUGGCUGGACUUUGCUUAGUCAUCAGGGCCAGGGUCUCUCCUUUCUACCUUUUUAUUAGGACAUUUUCUCCUGCUCCAAAGAUGAAGUGGAAAACUCUAAGCCCAAAGAGAAGACUAUGGGAGGAAAAAUGAGAGAAGGGGUGGUUGGGAAUGAGGUCCGAUUGCUGUGGAAAUUCAGCCUCUGUCUGCCAGUGUCAGAUUGAAACUCAGAGACAGUUUUGGGUAAAGGAGUAAAAGAUUGCUUUAUUGCUUUGCCAAGCAAAGGGGGCCACAGCAGACUUAAAGACUGUGACCCUUUUGGAAGGGAUCUGGAGGUGGUUUUGUAGUUUGGGGAAUGGAAUAAGGAUGGGGUGGAGGCAAGCUUUCAUUGUCUUUCAGAGCUGACCCCAGGACUGAUUCUGGUGGUCCCUCCUUCUUCCUGGAAUGAAGAAUGCUUCAUCAAGUACUAGUUCUUCCAUUUGUUGGGGGUUUUGGUUCUACAGAAAGGCUCAAAGAUAUUGUUAUGUAUAUUCCCUAAGGAGGAACCAGGACCCUGUCCCAAGGCUGAACUGCUCCUCCCUGGUCUCUGCAUCCCCUGCCUUCCCUGCUUAGCAGCUGCCCUUUAGAACUCAAGGAGGCUGAGGCUUAUUUCCUAAAAAGAAGAAACGGAGGACACAGAAAGGCUUGUGUGCCAAGCAGCCCCACAGGGCACUAGCUCAGUUACACGAUCAUCAUAGAAAGCUGUGCCAAGUGCCUUGUUCAAGCAAAAAUGAUACAACAUAGAAUCAUAAGUCUCUCUUCCUGCCAUACCUCUGCAGCACUCCCCAUCUUCCAGCUUUGGAAUUGACUUGAACUCUCAGAGGACGACAACUGAUCAGAUCUCCAUAAGAGGGAAACACUUCAAUCUGGGGAAUGCUGGCAAGGCAAGGGUUUCUGAUAGGCACCCGGCAGAUCACCAAGAAGAGAGGAGAAUUCUCAGCAGAAAAUUCAGCCUAAGAGAACUUUGAAGCUGAUUCCCCAGGUUCACAACCCACUCACCCUCUCCCCAGGGCCCCCAGCAUCAGAGAGAACCGCCAAGAGAGCCCUUUGCAAGGUACAUGGGUCACUCCCCUUUCAAACCCUAGGUGUCUUCUAUUCAGUAGUCACAUUCCUUUUUUUUUCCCCUGGGCCAUCCCUAUGGCAUACCAAAGUUCCUGGGCCAGACGAGGCCACAAGGACAACGCCAGAUCCUUAACCCACUAACCACCAGGGAACUCCCAGAAGUCAGUCAUUCUCUUGCUGAAAAAUUGGAUAAACCAAGGUUUUGCUGAUAUCAUGUUCAAAAUCAAUCAGUGUUUAUUCCAGUAAAUCCUGAGGGGAAAGCCAAGAUGUCGUCAGAGCCCAAACCGCCCCUGCCUGCUAUGAGAACAUACAGAGGUGCAGGAAAGCCAGCCCUGCUUGGAAAUCUCAGUAAUUAUUAUGAGAAUUUCUUGAAUGCCAGGAGGCUGGGAAGACAGCUUAAUUAAGUGCAACCUCUGGCAGUUCUGAUUGGGAAAUUGAGGACACGGUAACCCGGUGCCAUUCAGGCAACAGCCUGUUCCUUUUGUUCAGACACAGGGAGGGUCUCUUCUUUUGCCUACCACAAACAGGAGAGCUGUAAUUACGCAAUGUCAAACUGCAGCUGGGCAUGCUAUUUUGGAUUUUAUUUUUUCCAGAGAGUUUUACAACCCAAAAGAUGGAGCACCUCCCCCCACUUGAAUGGUGGCUAUAUUUAAGGUACUAGAGGCCCGGUAACACUCUGCAGUCCUCAUUCCACUUCUCCCAGUGCAGAGAGGGUCAGUAAGCCAACAUUUAGCAGUUUACACAGCGUGCAGCUUUGGAAGCCCGGUGUGUGUUAGUUUCCCAGGGAUUUCAUAGCAAGAGUACCACAACCCCAGUGGCUUCACCAACAAAAACGUAUUGCCUCACAGCUCUGGAGGCAAGAAGUCCAAGAUCAAGGUAUCAGCAAAAUUGGUUUCUUCUUCUUCUUCCUCCUCUUCUUCUCUGUCUUUUUAGGGCUGCAGCUGCAGCAGAUGGAGGUUCCCAGGCUAGGAGUUGAAUCAGAGCUGCAGCCACCAGCCUAUGCCACAGCCACAGCAAUACAGGAUCCGAGCCUCAUCUACAACCUACACCACAGUUCACAGCAAUACCAGAUCUUUAACCCACUGAGUGGGGCCAGGGAUCGAACCUGCAUCUUCAUGGAUACUAGACAGGUUCUUAACACACUGAGCCACAAGGGGAACACACAGCUUUGAGGGCUUUGAGAGAGACACUUUUCUAUUCUUCUCACCUGGAUCCUGGUGGUUUGCUGGAAAUCUCUGAUGUUCUGUGGCUUAUAGACGCAUUAUCCUGAUCUGUGCCUUCUUCACAUGGUUUUCCCCCUGUGUGUGUGUCCACCUCUGUGUCCAAACCCCCCUUUUUAUAAGGACACAGUCAUGUGGGACUAAGACCCACUCUAGUAACCUCAUCCCAACUUGAUUAUCCGCAAAAACACUCAUUCCAAAUAAAGUCACAUUCAUAGGUACUGGUUAUUUGGACUUAAACAUUUUUGGGGAGGGAACACAAUUCAACCCAUAAUACCUGGGUUCCAGUGAAAGCUUAUGUGGAUGCCCCCUGUUGGGGGAAAAAAGACAAAGUGAGGCCAAAGUAGAGCUUCUCUGAUUGACAUGAGCUUGCAGAGUCUCCACCAAGCCUCUUGGCCCUGCCCCCUCCCCACAGGCUGUUCGAGGUCUCUGCAGAGUCCAGCUUAACCUUCCCUAAUUUUAGGACAACUCCAUGGAGAGAAAGGGGACCUGGAUUUAUUUUUCCUUUUUUUUUUUUCAAAUGAGCAUGUGUCAAAGAUUUAUUUAAGUCAUUAAUAAGAGAACCAGUAAGGCAAUACAACCAGAUCAAAGGCGCAUAUGAAGAGCACAUAUAUCCUGGCAAUCCGGAAGGCUGAAAUGAAUUUAUAAAUAAAUGCAAAACCAGGCAAUAUCCACAGCACAGUAACCAUAACGGAGGGCACUUCCACUGGACAAAAUUCAUUUGCAUUUCUAUGGGCAAGAAUUAUUUGCAGCACAAUCAGUUUUCCCCAAAAAGGACAGAGUUACAAAACAGCUCCAAGGCAAUCAAAGGUAGUGAUAACAGGAAGAGAGUACUAGGCAAGACACCCAGUAGUCUUUGGGACCCAUUUCAAAGUCAUUCACAAUUUUUCCUGGUGGAAUAUACACGUCCGAGGUGUGAGGACCAUGUGCUUACAUAUCACCAAUCAUCUAAGGCAUCUACAUCCAUGGUGGGGGGCAGAGGGGCACUGCUGGGGGUGGAGGUGUCCUCCCUCAGGCCUCAGGACUAUUAGGGUGCCCCACCCCAUCCACCUCACCCACUGCUGCCCGUCAAGGGAAGCAGGGAAAUGGGAAUUCAGUGUUUACCGACUCCUCCUGGACUCAGCCCCAAGCUGGCCCCUCCUAUCCUCUGCUCCCACUGCCAAGUUCAUCCCUUCCUCUGCCCCUGGCCCCUCGGCCCUCCCUCCCCUCCUCCAGCACACACUUCAGUGGUCAACCCAGCCCUAGCCAGGCAUCCCACUGGGACCACUCUCUUACACCGGAAGACCCCUGACUCCAUCUCAAGAUCAGCCAUGUCUGUCCUCUAUCAUAUGCUUCCAACCACUUUGAGCUUUCAAGCUGAAAGUCUGAGACCAGAGAGCUGAAUUUUUCUAAUUCACUCAGUGGUUCAGUGACCUCAGCGACAUCUUUUUUCCUAGCCUUCAAUUUCCAUCAUCUGGACCUCAGCAUCACUAUGCAUAUAAAUAAGUAUAGCAAGUGCUAUGGUCUUCCAUCCAGCUCCCCGCUGGAACCCAGGACUGGGACACUCAUCUCACCAGCUUGUGAUGCAGCCCCUCCUUGGAAACUGCCUUGUGCCAAAGGGACCUGCCUCGCCUGCCAGGAUGACCACUCCCAGCACAUCACAACUGGUCCAGCUGGGCCACAGACUCUCAGCCCUCUUGUCUCACUGUGGAACAUCCCUGAAGGGCCACCUCCGUUUCAAUGCUCCCCAUGGGAUCAGCUUGAGUCUCUGUGGCAACUACCCCCUGGUUCAAGUCAUGCUGCCCAGUCCUGCGUCUUUUACUCCCUAACCUGUGCGCUCCCAAGGGCACUAUCCAAUAAAUUUCUUACGCCAAAGCCUUAAGGUCUUAGAGUCUGUUUCCUUGGAACAUGCUCCUGCAACAAUGAGGUAAUGCCUGGCAUCACAUAGGGGCUCAAAUAUGCCACCAGCAAGUCAUAGGACUGCCACCAAGUCAUGUCUCUCUGGCCUCCAUCAGAAAAUUAAGACAUUCCUGCAAUGAGAGUGUCAACCCAAAUAUUGCUCUGUUUGAACACCAACAUUCUAACUGUUACUUCCUGAGAUCACACAGUAAAGGGAUGGAUAUGAUCUUGGGACACAGACAUGAACCCCACCACUGCCUGGGCUUCACGUACAUGCAAUUCCACGCUGAUGCAGUUACGAGGGAAAAGGUAAGCCAGCCAUGGUAAACUGGCUGACACGGGGAGUGGUGGGCAGUGCUGGUGGUAGAAGGGACCUCCCAGAGCAAGGGAAGCUCACCUGAGGUUGUUUUCCUGUCACAUCCUGCCAGCCUCCUGAAACUGAUAUCCUUGGGAAAGCUGACAUCGUACGGAGUUACAUUCUCACAUAGGCUGGCAUCCUCCGUCCUCCGUGGCCGGGCCCUCUGCAGCCCAGAUAAGGGCUGGAGUCCAGCCAUAGGGCAGCAGCCACAUUGAGGGUGGAGUUUCAGUCACUUUGGGGGUCACUGCCUCUUGCUCAGCAAUUCCCAGGAACAGAAGUACACGGCAGAGCCCUCAGUCCCUUGACUGGGGACAAGGAUGAUGCUGAAAUUCACAUGUCUCAUUCCUGCUUGAGAUUGAAAGGGAUCUCAGGAAUCACACAGCCCCA
rnacentral:lncRNA from 1 species